ensembl:snoRNA snoZ196 Small nucleolar RNA Z196/R39/R59 family
UUCAGUAACCGAAGGGAUGGUGUGUUUUGACAGGAUUGCCUGGUCACAUGAUGAUUUUUCUCACCAUCUUUCGGCUGAUGCUGUG